rnacentral:lncRNA from 1 species
GGCCAGGAAAUCCCUUCCCAAAGAAAGUAAACUGACAAGAUUUGACCCUCUCAAGGACCAGCCAAAGGAGAGUCGUAAAUGGUUCUGGCAACGGAUCUAGACCCAUGGUGUUGGCAAGAGGACUGAAGAUGAAGGCCAAAGCUUGCAGCUGGGGUGGGCACAGCAUGGAGCUCCCUCCCUGGAGCAUCUGCAGAACACAGAGCAAGAGUAGAGCGGGGUUUGUGCAUUUCCCUGGUGACCAGCCUGCCUGCCACUCUCUGCUCCGGCCAGCCCACCCUGUCCUCUCACCCGCUAGGCUGGCUUCUAGUCAGUCUCAGCAGCACAUGCAUAUUCAUGCUGAGAAGGCAGCAAGCACG